AUUGAACGCUAGCGGCAGGCUUUACACAUGCAAGUCGAACGAGUGGCGGACGGGUGAGUAAUACAUCGGUACGUGCCCAGUAGCGGGGGAUAACUACUCGGAAGAGGGGCUAAAACCGCAUACUAUUGGAGCGGCCGAGAUUGGAUUAUCUAGCUGGUGGGGGAAAGGCUCACAAAGGCAACGAUCCGUAGCUGGGCUGAGAGGACGACCGGCCACACUGGGACUGAGACACGGCCCAGACUCCUACGGGAGGCAGCAGUGGGGAAUUUUGGACAAUGGGGGAAACCCUGAUCCAGCCAUCCCGCGUGUAUGAGAAGGCCUUCGGGUUGUAAAGUACUUUUGGCAGAGAAGCGGUAUCUGCAGAAUAAGCACCGGCUAACUACGUGCCAGCAGCCGCGGUAAUAC
rnacentral:rRNA from 1 species